rnacentral:misc_RNA from 1 species
GAUGGGCAAGCAAGAAUUUGGAACCGAGAGGGGGAACUGGUAAAUACACUAAUCAAACAUAAAGGGCCAAUCUUCUCUUUGAAGUGGAAUAAGAAAGGUGAUUAUCUUCUUAGUGGUAGUGUAGACAAAACCGCAAUUGUAUGGGAUGUAAAGUCAGGUGAAUGGAAGCAGCAAUUUGAAUUUCAUUCAGCUCCAACUCUUGAUGUUGAUUGGCGAAACAACAAUUCCUUUGCGACUUGCUCCACUGAUAACAUGAUUUAUGUUUGUAAAGUUGGAGAGAGUCGGCCUCUCAAAGCUUUCUCGGGACAUCAGAGUGAAGUCAAUGCAAUCAAGUGGGACCCCUCAGGCUCCUUGUUGGCGUCAUGCUCUGAUGACACCACAGCUAAGAUAUGGAGUGUGAAACAAGAUACCUGCUUGCAUGAUUUCAGAGAGCAUGCCAAGGAGAUCUAUACCAUCAGAUGGAGUCCAUGUGGCCCUGGUACAAGCAACCCAAAUCAACAGUUGUUGCUGGCAAGUGCUUCUUUUGACUCCACAGUGAAGCUUUGGGAUGUUGAAAUUGGCCGUCUUGUCCACAGCUUGAAUGGUCAUAGGGAUCCUGUUUACUCUGUCGCGUUUAGCCCAAACAGUGAGUACUUGGCUACUGGGUCAUUGGAUAGAUGCUUGAAUAUAUGGUCUGUGAAAGACGCCAAGAUCAUAAAAACAUACAGUGGAAAUGGUGGAAUCUUUGAAGUGUGCUGGAACAAAGAAGGCAGCAAGGUCGCAGCUUGUUUUGCAGACAAUGUGGUGUGUGUCUUUGAUGUUCGGAUGUAGGGUUGCAGAACAAACAUGGAAAAAGACCGUGUUGAACAAACAUGCAAUUGUAACAAGCAACGCGUGAAUGGUGGCAAAAGUGUGUUUGGUUGACUCAUGUAGAAUUGUAGAACAGCUGAUAUUGAACAAAUCAGUAUUUGUACCUUGUUGUAGAUAUGCAGAUAGGAUCAUGCUACUGACCUAGGUUUAGGUUUUGGUACAGCUGAAGCUGUAAAUUACAGCCAUUGUACUGUGUUGAAAGUGAGGAAGCUGCAGCCACAGUGACUUCUGUCGCAACUAUAUUUGUUGCCCAAAAUGUUGAUAUCAAGUUACAUUAAUUUAUU